CCUUUAUAGCGCAGAGCUGCGUCUAGGAAGAGGAGCACCCCUUUGAUUUUGUCUUCAAAAUGGGGCCUAGCAGGGGCCUGGAUGCUGCGCAUGAAAGAAACCAGAAUGGAGGGAAGAGCUGUCGCACAUUCAACUAGCAGCAAGGACAGGUCAUCCUAAAAUGGACAGAGUACCAACUGCUGCUUAGCUCUGAAUCUACUGCCUUGGUCCCCAACCUUCCUGGUGGACUCAACACAAGACAUGAAGUCACAGUUCAUGCUGACUCUUCCUGGAGGCCAGUGAAGAAGAGGACUCAGGUUCUAGCCAGGCUGCAGCAUGAGAUCAACUGUGGGAAGCCUCAGAAGAUGCUGGAGGGAGAGAUCCUGGACAGGGAGAACAGCUUCCAGCGUGAACCUCCUUCAUGAGACAUGGAAGAUUCUCUUGGCCAGUGAGGAGUUAGAAUCUUGUAUCUGGAUGCGAAUAUCCUUACAAAGGAAUGAUAAAGUCUUAGUCUCCUUUUGAAAGAGGAUCACCAAAGCUACACCACCAGCAUGCGACUCUGGACCCCAGUGCACAGUCAAGGCACUAAGAACAUGGGGUAAGUGGGUUCUUAACUUCAGAUCCAGAAAGCUUCAGAGCUGCAAGGAACGGCCUCCGAAAGAGAGAACAAGAUCUCACAAUUCCUGGCGCUAGUGACCUGGCUCCAGGCUUCAGCUGAUCUUUAUAGGGGACAUGGUGCAAAGCCAUAUCAGGCAACAUUCUCUGUGCUCUCUGUUUCAACAAAUACUGGACUAAAAUUUCCUUUCGCCUCCAUUCUCUCAAACCCAAUCCCAGCGCCUUGUGAUCCCAGCAUUCCUGUGCUCUGCCUAGCUAUGGAAUUCAGACAGCCUGUAAUUGUCUCAGCUCCUAUAUCCGCUUACCAAGCAGAAUGCCUCCUUCCCCAUCCUGACUCCUUCCAAAGGCCGACUUUGUGGACUCCAACACAGAACAAAGGAAAGAGCACCCGGCUGUAAUCCACCCUGCUUGGCCCUAUCUCAUUCACAAACACUCUCAUACACACAAACUCACUCUCCUUCAUGGUGCCCAUGCAGCUUUGGAGUGAUUCCAAAAGACGCUGAGGCUCAGGAGAGUUAGGCUGGAGCCCUAACACCAGAUAGCAUAUAGCAAGGAUGGAGUCUAAUCUUGGUUGUGUGGCCCUGGGUUUCAAAAACGUGUGUGUGUGUGUGUGUGUGUGUGUGUGUGUGUGUGUGUGUGUGUGAUCUCAAUGUUAGUAACACUAACCCCCCAUCUCCUUUUGUGUUUGACUUCUGGACUUCUGUGUGUUUCCGCUGGCCAGCCUGCAUGUAAUCACCAUGCUACAGAGCAUGUGGUGUUUUCCUUAUCUGCUUUGCUGUCCUUCAUUACCUGAUCAUUGCGUUUUGUUUAAUAUGUUCUGUAAAAUGACAGCAAUGUCCAAGAUGAUUGUGGUAAUUAUGUUAAAAAAUAGAUCUUGGCAAGAAAAUGUUCAGUCAGUGGUAUGACAUAUGACUUAUGUAUUUUAAAUACAUCCCCU
ensembl:lncRNA